rnacentral:lncRNA from 1 species
GGGGAAGCAAAUGAAGAAGAUGCAAAGCACAAAGGAAAAACAUGGUGAAUGUAAAAUUAGAAUAGAGAAAUGAGAAAGAGAGUAGAGAAGAUGCAAAACACAAAAUGAAGGCACGGCAAAUGAAAAUUAAGAAAUUAUUUACAAACUUACCGAUAAUUUGAUUAAAAAACCGUCAGAAAUCUAUUCCAAAAAAAUAAAAAUAAUAAAACUUAGUUACGGUUUUUCUUAUAAACCGUAAAAAAA